GCUGUAGCUCAGUGAUAAGAGCAUGUGCUCUGUAUGCAGAAUGUCUCGGGUUCAAUCCCUGGCGUAUCUCUGGAGCA